CUCUCACUGGGUCACUUGAGACAUUCAGUUCCUAUAAAGGGAGUUUGUAUUUGGUGAGCAAUCGUGUGGAAGCAGGGUGUUCCUGCAGGCAAUGGUUUCCUUUCCCAUUUUGCCCACUGGUCUGAGGGCUCCAGGAUGCUCAGGGACACUUAAAACCGACUUGAACUUCUGUCGAGGUUGGCUUCUAAAAAAGCUGUGAAUUGCUGCAGAGUCUCAUUUGAAGGAACUGAAUGGGGAGCUUUGGGGAAACCUGCCAUUUUUUUUCUCUGUCCUGCUCAGGUGUGGCUCUGCCCAGCCAUCAGCGCUGGGUUAUUGGUUUGAGCGGGACUCGCAGUAAAUUGCCCCUUACCUACUGCACUCAAGAUAGCACAAGGUGACUUAUCAGCUUUCCUGUAGGGUAUGGUUUGGGCAGCUGAUGGAUCCCUUCAGCCCUACGCUGGGUUUGGGAAUAAGUACUUAGAGGAAGCCCCCAGCUUGCCACCUUCUUGCAUUCUGCAAUUAGCCUUGCCAUUAAUAGGCCACCGCUGUAAAGGAGGUGUUCCCAUGCUCUGUUUUAGGCGUUCUGCCUCUGUUUGCAGUGAGUGUGCAGCUGCAGUGCUACUGUGCCUCAUCGCACUGGUGAGAGUUCAUUCCCAGAGCUUGAGCUGUGUGGGAUGUGCAGAACACAGUGAGUGCCUGCUCCCAUUUCACGUUGCAUCGAGCUACCCCUCAGCACCAGAUGAAGAGCCCCUGCUUGAAUGCAGCACACUGCUCUGCUGGGAGCAGACAACAGCUGAUUCCUUCCGCAGGCUCCGGGGCUGUGAGCGUGUCUCACCUCUGCGGUUACACCAGCACUGCUGGGAGCACAGUGAGCAGCACAGCUGAGCCCCUCCUCGCAGCACACAGCUCGCCUCCUGUGCCCCCUGCAGCUCUUGCUGCCUUGCGUUGCUGGGUGCUGCUCGGAGGGCACCGUGUGGUUUCUUUGCUCGCUUUGGAUGAGGACAGCCCUGCUGUAGGAUGGGCCCUCCUCUGCAGCCUAGGACCACAAGCGCUGCUCCUGAGAGCUGUGUUUUGCAGAGCAAUGGGGUACCAGAGUGAGAUUCACAGACACCUCAGGGGGUGAGGAUUUAGUGACCUCUUAAAAGCUUUUUCAUGAGCAGGUAAUUUUUUUUUUACUGGCGAGAAAGGAAGGCACCUAGUGUUUGUAAGGGGUAGGUGGUCAAACUUUCCCUUGUCAGAUUGAACUUUAAAACCUCUUUCAAGCCAAACAUUGCC
ensembl:lncRNA